rnacentral:miRNA from 1 species
UCUGGGAUGACACUACCCUUCA